GACUACAGGGGUAUCUAAUCCUGUUUGCUCCCCACGCUUUCGUGCCUCAGCGUCAAUCAUCGCAUAGUAAGCUGCCUUCGCAAUUGGUGUUCUGUAACAUAUCUAAGCAUUUCACCGCUACAUGCAACAUUCCGCUUACCUCUACGACAUUCAAGACUGGCAGUAUCAAUGGCAGUUUCCAAGUUAAGCUCGGAGCUUUCACCACUGACUUAUCAGCCCGCCUACGCACCCUUUAAACCCAGUGAAUCCGGAUAACGCUUGCACCCUCCGUAUUACCGCGGCUGCUGGCACGGAGUUAGCCGGUGCUUAUUCCUCUGGUACCGUCAAGUUCCUAAGAAUAGGAGUGUUUCUUCCCAGAUAAAAGAUAUUUACAACCCAGAGGGCCUUCAUCUAUCACGCGGCAUGGCUGGAUCAGAGUUUCCUCCAUUGUCCAAUAUUCCCCACUGCAGCCUCCCGUAGG
rnacentral:rRNA from 1 species